AUUGAACGCUGGCGGCAUGCUUUACACAUGCAAGUCGAACGGUAACAGGCCGCAAGGUGCUGACGAGUGGCGCACGGGUGAGUAAUGCAUCGGAACGUGCCCAGUCGUGGGGGAUAACUACUCGAAAGAGUAGCUAAUACCGCAUACGAUCUAUGGAUGAAAGCGGGGGACCGUAAGGCCUCGCGCGAUUGGAGCGGCCGAUGUCAGAUUAGGUAGUUGGUGGGGUAAAGGCUCACCAAGCCAACGAUCUGUAGCUGGUCUGAGAGGACGACCAGCCACACUGGGACUGAGACACGGCCCACACUCCUACGGGAGGCAGCAGUGGGGAAUUUUGGACAAUGGGCGCAAGCCUGAUCCAGCAAUGCCGCGUGCAGGAAGAAGGCCUUCGGGUUGUAAACUGCUUUUGUACGGAACGAAACGGCUCUGGUUAAUACCCGGGGCUAAUGACGGUACCGUAAGAAUAAGCACCGGCUAACUACGUG
rnacentral:rRNA from 1 species